GACGUAGGGCGCGAGCGUUGUCCGGAUUUACUGGGCGUAAAGAGCUCGUAGGUGGUUUGUCGCGUUGUCCGUGAAAACUCACAGCUCAACUGUGGGCGUGCGGGCGAUACGGGCAGACUGGAGUACUGCAGGGGAGACUGGAAUUCCUGGUGUAGCGGUGGAAUGCGCAGAUAUCAGGAGGAACACCGGUGGCGAAGGCGGGUCUCUGGGCAGUAACUGACGCUGAGGAGCGAAAGCGUGGGGAGCGAACAGG
rnacentral:rRNA from 1 species